CAGUAGCCGCGGUAAUACGAAGGGUGCAAGCGUUACUCGGAAUUACUGGGCGUAAAGCGUGCGUAGGUGGUGGUUUAAGUCCGUUGUGAAAGCCCUGGGCUCAACCUGGGAAUUGCGGUGGAUACUGGGUCACUAGAGUGUGGUAGAGGAUAGUGGAAUUUCCGGUGUAGCAGUGAAAUGCGUAGAGAUCGGAAGGAACAUCUGUGGCGAAGGCGACUAUCUGGGCCAACACUGACACUGAGGCACGAAAGCGUGGGGAGCAAACAGGAUUAGAUACCCCUGUAGUCCCUGUCUCUUAUAC
rnacentral:rRNA from 1 species